GUAUUGAUUGCGUGUUAUCGCAAAAAUGGGGGUCAUUCUACACUUUUAAAAUAGGGGUUUGUGUGAAAACGCAAGCCCCCCUCCCGGAUCGGUUUGAUCCCAAAGGGUUGCCCACGCGGUGGUGCACAAAAGGGUGAGAUGGAUUUUUAUGUGAGAGGACACACUCUGGCGUGCACGACUCUUGUGGUAAAAGUCAGCGACAACCCCAGCACCUCCAUUGUAUGAUAAUGAUCCUUCCGCAGGUUCACCUACGGAAA
rnacentral:misc_RNA from 1 species